UCGGCCUGAAUCUGGUGCGCGAGACCGCCACGCUUUACGGCCUGGUCAGGAAACAGCGCGACCUGUUCUUGUCGGUGAUGGGCAUUUCGUGGUUCUGGCUGGUGGGCGCGACCUAUCUGUCGCAAUUCCCCGCCUUCGCCAAGGACGUGCUG
rnacentral:ncRNA from 1 species